rnacentral:lncRNA from 1 species
CUGAUGCCAUCAUAGAUGCUCUGUGGAUCAAAGCCCCUCUCUGUUUGCAGGUGUUUCAUGAAUCAAACACUUGAUGACAGUUCAACAACCAUAGUAUUUCACGGCAGUGCUCUAGUGCCAAGAAAGAAAUGUGUCGUCUUGUGCACAAGCAGAAGGUAGGGGUCAUUUAGUACACUUUUCUUUGCUCUGUAAACAUUCAAAAGCACAUAACCCUUGUCACCUGGGCAGUGUCCCCUCUUGAAAUCUCUCCGAAUUCUCUCUGCCGCUGCCUCUCUUUCUCAUUAUAGUUAUUGUUGUAUGAGUCUUAGAGACAGUCUCUCUCUCUCUCUCUCUCUCCCUCUCUCUCUCUCUCUCUCUCUCUCUCUCUCUCUCUCUCUCUCUCUCUCUCUCUCUCUCUCUCUCUCUGUGUGUGUGUGUGUGUGUGUGUGUGUAGUCCUGGCUGUCCUGGAACUUGCUGUAUGUAGACCAUUCUGGCCUAGAUGUCAUUCACUCUUUGUCCCAAGUGCUAGUUAUUAUGCCCUGCUUUUCUUUCUGAUUAAUGGUGUUCAGCUCUGGAGUACCCAGGCUUCAUUUCUUGUCCUUUGUAGGACCCAAUCCUUAAGUCACAGCAGCUUACAUCUGAAACCACUGUAGCUCGUUAUUCCAAGUGGAUUCAACUGGAUUUAGCCCUUUUUCCUGUCCCCAAGACAAGGUCAUCUUUAGCUACUUAUAUAAAAUUUAAGUCCCG